GGGCCCGCACAAGCAGCGGAGCGUGUGGUUUAAUUCGAGGCUACACGAAGAACCUUACCUGGGUUUGACAUAGCGGUGGUAGGGAACCGAAAGGGGACCGACCUUCGGGAGCCGUUACAGGUGCUGCAUGGCUGUCGUCAGCUCGUGCCGUGAGGUGUUCGGUUAAGUCCGGUAACGAGCGCAACCCUCGUCGCUAGUUACACGUUGUCUAGCGAGACUGCCCGUGAUAAGCGGGAGGAAGGUGGGGAUGACGUCAAGUCAGCAUGGCCUUGAUGCCCAGGGCUACACACACGCUACAAUGGCCGGUACAAUGGGUCGCCAACCCGCAAGGGGGAGCCAAUCCAGCAAAGCCGGUCUCAGUUCGGAUUGCAGGCUGCAACCCGCCUGCAUGAAGUCGGAGUUGCUAGUAACCGCGCGUCAGCCAUAGUGCGGUGAAUACGUUCCCGGGCCUU
rnacentral:rRNA from 1 species